CUUAUUAACUUGUCUGAACUCUCUGUUGUUGGGAAGGUUUUUCUUCUGUUUCUGGGUGUUUUUUCUUGUCUAUAGGCUGCUGUGUCUUUUUAUCGCAAUGUUGCAACCAUGCUGCAGCCCUCACAACUUACUGAUACAGAACAGUGUGGCCAGGUAAAUGCAAAGCUGCUCAUUUUUUUUUAAUAUAAAAUUCACAGAAUCGCAGUAUCAUUUAAGUUGUAAAAGACCUCCAAGAUCAUUGAAUCCAACCUUUGACUGACCACCACUUUGUCAACUACACCACGGCACUAAAUGCCACAUGCAGUUAUUUCUUGAACACCUGCAGGGAUGGUGACUCCACCACAUCCUUGGGCAGUCCAUUCCAAUCCUUAAAAACCCUUUUUGUGAAGAAAUUUCUUUUCAUGUCUAACCUGAACCUUGCCUGGCUCUACCUGGGGCUGUGUCCUCUCAAGCUAUUGCUGGCUGCCUGGGAGAAGAGACUGAUCCCCACCUGACUAAAGCAUCCUUUCAGGUAGCUGUAGAAAGUGAUAAAAAACCCUCCUUUUCUCCAGGCCAAAAAAUCCCAGCUUCCUCAGCUGGUCCUCACAAGCCUUGUGCUCCAGCCUCUUCCCCAGCUCUGUUGCCCUUCUCUGGACACACUACAGCUCCUCAAUGUGCUUCUUGUAGUGAGGGGCCCAAACUGGACACAGGAUUUGAGGUGUGGCCUCAGGUGCAGGACCUAGUACUUCCCUUUCUAUAAACUAUGUUUUAACAUGUGGUUUUAGUGGUUGCUUGAGUGGGGUAGUCCAGAUACUUUUUCAUAUAGCUUUAGAUCCACUGUUGUUUGUGGUACUGUGCAGAUGUUUUGACCGCCAGUCUUCCCUGGGGAUUUGUUGCAUUCUUUUUAUAAGAAUGUAAACCUAUAUUUGUUAAAAAUAUAUAGGUUUAGUGUUGGGGAAUACAUUUAUGAAUAAGUUAUGGACAUCAUAUAUAUACAUGUGUGUGGAUAGAUAAAAUGUAGGAGAAUAGAGAUAGUGGUGAAGGUAGGUAGUCUCACUCCUAAGGAGUUACAGCUGGGCCAAUUAUCAAGCAUUAAGAACAAGCCUGCCCUUAAUAGGCCACAGCUGGAUCCAGUUAAGAGGGGUAUUAUAAAAGAGCAGGUUGGCUGGUUGAGAUGGAGUUUGUUGGCUGUGUUGAGAAGAAGAAAGAGUCAGUGCUGUGAGGAGCUGCUCAUGAAAAUCAUCGAGAAGACCAAAGCCCUGAUCUUGUAUCUCAAGUGUUAGCAGAAGAUGCAUCCGUCAUGAUCUUUAGCAAAUUACUGUAUGUAAAAAGGAGAAUUGAGUGAAGAUACAGCUACUUCUGUUCUGAGAGCACUUCCUGGUAAUUCUCACACACACAACUGCUCAGAUUUCAGACUUCUGACUCGUUGCUUCACAGCAGAACAUGCUCUGCUCAUUUUUCCCAUGGUACUUUAGGCUGUUGCAGUUGUGACCUAUUUUCACACUUGUUUCAAGCAGCUUUAGUAUAAAUAAUAAGUUCACUUUAGCUGUGUGUUCACAAAGAUUGUCUCUUGCUGAGUAGCACUGAGCUGUUGAAUCAUCAUCCUUCCCAGGCACAACCAGCUGCUUUUCAUCUAUGCCCAUUAGUUUAAUCUGCCUUUUCUCUUCCAUCCCUAUUUACAGUCUGUCAGCAUUAGUGACAGCUCUUCUAGCUUCAGCCUUUCCAUUCCUUCCAUUAUGCGUUGUUUAUAAUGUUUUGCACCUUCCUGUGCCCUUCCCUCCCAUUAAAGUCAAUUUUCAAACACUGUCCUCAACAGUACCUAUCCAGCAUGAGUAUUUGCAACUUAUUGUGGCCUGUAUAUGCCUCUGUGUUGUAAGAUGGGAAAUUAGAUGUCUAAGAUGCAAUUAAAAUCCACACAAGUCAAGUGCUACAUUUGAUCAUUAUGCAGCUGCAGUGCACAUGCUUGUCUGUCUGGGCAGACAAGCCCAGACAGGUUAAUUUUACAGUGCACAAGAUGACAAGAUGUACUUGAGAGACCUGGGCAUCUAUCUCAAGUGAUACCUCAUCCUUUAGGAGCACCGAAAUGCAGAAGCAGCUACAAGCCCGUAAAGUUUGCACAAAGCACAUAGAAAGCAAGGGUGCAGUUCUCUGUCUCAGCAAUUAUGUAGUGAGGGUUGGACUGUGUUCUUACUGAUCAUCUUCACUUUUUGGAUACUGCCCUAGCAGACUGGUGAGCUCCACACCUUGAAGAUAUUGCCAGAAGUGUACAGAACACGGUCAAGCUGAUAGGAAUAAGAGAAACAGAACAGAAAGAAGAGGGACAAGACAGGGUUGGAUAAGAGCUCUAAAGACCCUGAACCAUUUUCCCAGUCUUUAGAAGAAGCACAGAUAAAAUUAAUGAAGAUAUAAAUUUAAUCAAAGCUACCAUCCAUAGCAAGCCUUCCAAACAGUGACUUUUGUUCCUUAUUUCAUGCACUUGCUCUCUGUACUCAUAUCUUCACUUUUAGUUGCAACUUCUCAAGCCUGCUACAGGAUUCUGCACAGAUGACUUGAUUUGUGAUUGUCUGCUGUUUCUGUCUGCUUGGGCGUGCAAUAAUCCUCUGCCUGCCAACAGCUGGUGAAGAGGGAUGCAUUCAACUCUGCUCAUCCCUCCUGGCUCUGAAACUAUUUGGGGUUGAAAACUGUGUCGCUCACCAGUGCACAUUUGUCGGAGGCCCCUUACUGAAAGAAAAGAAUGUGGGACUAAGAAGAACAACAUUCUCACCAUCUUUGCCCUGAAUAUUCCCACACUCAACAGAAGUACAGAAGAAGGAUACAAAUAAUCUAGACAGUCUUUCAUUCAUCUAAACCAAAUUAUAUGAAGAAAUUAAGUUUCCUAAAAUUCUUUCCCUGCACUCCUAGAUUCUUUGAAACUUGCAGUGCACAUGCUGACAGGUUUCCUGCAGUAGUGAGAAUAAAACCUUCCCAUCUCCCACCUGUUCUCUCUUAGCCAGGACCUUGUCCCCUAAUGACAAAUGUCUCUGCAGCAGAUACAUAGAGAUGUCUCACCAGAGCAACUUGAUGAUUAACCCACAUGCAAUGAGGCUCAAAUACAGGAUUAUUCCAUGCUCUACGCCACCACUGAGAUGGUUAGCAACUGUACAAUUACAGCUUGAAAAAAUAUACAUACCAGGACUGGAUUGGCCAAGGAGAGAAAUGAAUAUCCAGACUUGCUGCAGGGGGAAUGGCACAAUCCAGCAGCAUUUUGCCAUGGCACAUCACAAGGAUGUGAUUGAAGUACUGCACAGAUGAAGUGCAGACCCUCAACACGUGGUUGAAGGAAUGGCCAAUGUUGCAGCAUUCAGAGAUUCCUCAGAGCUCAGCAGUGGAAGGAACAGUACCCUUAUCGGUUUGCUGAAUUUGUGGAACUGAAAUAUCCAGUCAAUGACAGAGGAUGUAAAUAGAAAUGUCUAGACAGGCUAUGAUUUCAUCUUAUAUCUUGUUCUUCCAUACAUCAGGUGCAAUAAGUGCCAGUUGAAAGAACAGCAUGUUUAUUUUGGGAAGAUUCUCUCUUGUUUCAAAAUUAUUCUUGAAUUCAGAAAUCAAAUUUGAAAUACAGAAGCACUUAUAUUGAGUUGCUCAGUGCAUCUCAGGUACGCUGAUCCAAUUUCCAAGCACUCUUUUUCAGAGCAACUCUUCAAACUAUGAGUGCUUGCUGCAUGUUAUCAGGCCUGCUGCUUCCUUCUUGAAGGAGCACAUUCCUGCUGAUUCUGCUCAUUCUUCUGCAGGAUUACACCCUUCCUGCCAGAGCCCCAGGGCUGUAUUUGUGGAGUGGGACAUAUCUUACUAAAGAAGCCAGCAGCAAACAAGCGUGACUUCUGGUGGUUAGUAGUAUGCACAAAAUCACCUUCACAGGGAGGAGCUGUGUGUGAUAGAAUUUCUUCAUGGGCCAGAAACAAUAUUUUUCAUAUGCAGUAAUGGCAUCUAACCUGGAUAUUUAUACCCAAUAUAAUUUAGGUGGCCAUUCAUGCAUACAGUUUUCUGCCUUCUGCUUUCAUUUCUAUGACUAUGUAGGAAUCUGGUGUCUUUUUCAGAGAGAACAUCAACAAGUCCAACAUGACCACUACUGCUAUUACCUCUUUCUUUGCAUUUGUCAAUACUGAGAUUUUUCUUAAGCUUUCUUUCUUUAGUUAUUGCAUCUCUUUAGAAACCAAACUGACAGCCUGUCAUGGUAAGUGCUGGCUUAGGUUGUUAUACUUUGUCCUUUUUACUGUUCACUUACCCGGUUGCCAGCUAUCAGCCUGUCUGGUUUUAUGACCAUAUGUCAUUUCAUUGCACUUAUGGCAUUUCUGGCACUGAAGAGAGAGAUUGUUUACAAUAGAUAAAUUUGCUGGUUACUAAUUGCCUUUUGUAAUUCUUGAAACUUUACAGUAUUUUAAUAAAUUAAUGAAAACUAUUUAAUGUUGUUGAUAUUAGUGACAUUGUAUUUUUUAGAUGCUUAGCUAACGACACCAGUAUAUUGCUAUAGCUGGACACAUUCUCUGCAUGAAAAAUGAUACUACAGAAUUAAACAAGAUACAAAAUACAACUAAGGUAGUAUAAAUGUACCCUUAAGUGUAUCACAAACAGUGAUACACUUACAAUAUCCUGAUAUCCUUACAAUAAAUUAGGCAGAUGUCAAGUCUUGCCAUUGGUUUUCAAAACUACACCCUGCUUCUAAAUAACAAUAUUUUGGAAAGACAUUGCACAUGCUUUGUUGAAUUGUUGCUACAGAAAGCUGAUCAUUCCAUGUGGGAUUCAUGUACCUAUGACUGGAAAUGCUCUGAAAUCCUCAGUUGCCUUUUUCUUUUAGAAGACUAGACUCAAAGUACAUGGCUGAUUUUACUAGUUUAUAUAUGAAAUGACAGUCCUAGUUGGGAAUAACUAAUGAUUUCUGUUUCUAAGAGGUCUAUAAUAAAUAAAAAGUUUCUUAUGUGGAAAGUAUGAGAUACCUGGGGAAAUUUGAAAAACAUCAGGGCUUAGAUGACUCAAAAUUAAUUUAACUCAUGGUUUAGAAAUCUUGAAUACCAAGGUUGUUCAAUUCUAUAGUAGCUUCAGAUUUGAGAUGUAAGUUCUAGUGAUAACAGUGUGACUAAAAACCAAUUUACUGAAUUGUUUCAACAAGUUUCUGUUGCUUUCAUAAACUAUGUCCUUUAAAGAUUUACUUUUCAUUCUAUUUACUCAAAUGCUGUAUUGUUUUAGUACUGCAACAACUCUCUUUUUCACUUUUGACUUUUUUUUGCAAUGUUUUUCAGAAUUCAAGUAUGAACCAGCAGAAUAGGGAGAGAAAUGGAAAGUACAAAGGAAAUCUAAAGUUCAAAGCUUGCACAGAAUGCCUUAAGGUUCUUGAAGUCUUUUAAGUAAAAAAUAUGAAGAAAAUUAAUUACUUGCUGGUGACAAAACAUAAUUAAGAAAUAAUAAUGCAUAACACAAUAUACAAAAUCUAAACAAAAGUCAUAAUAUAUUAUUAAUAUCUAAACUAUUUAUCCAGAAGCAAUUUUUCAACCACAUCCCAAUAAUUUGUUUUUUAGGUAUAGAGACACAAUUUUAAUGAAUUGAAAUAAAUAUUUCCAAGUGCAAUUUGAUGUCUUUGGAGCUAUGAUAUUAUUGCAUUUAGAUCACAUUUCACAUAAGACCUUCUUCACUUGUAAUUUCAAGCCAUCUCCAGGAGAGAAGGGCUUCCUCACACACAAUGGUGACUUGGGAAGACAAAUGCUGUCACUUCAAACAUUCCUUCUUCCUCUUCCUUCCCUCCACUUUAUGCAGUGAGCACCAUCUCACACGGUCUGGGAUAUCCCUUUGGUCAGCUGGGGUCACCUGUCCUGGCUGUGUCUCCUCCCAGCCUCCCACACAUCCCCAGUCCCCUCACCAGUGUGGCAGGAUGAAAAACAGAAAAGGUCUUGGCUCUGUAAGCCCAGCUCAGCAAUAACAAAAACAUCUCUAGGUUGUUAACCCUGUGUUCAGCACAAAUCCAAAACACAGCCCCAUACCAGCCACUGUUAAGAAAAUUAACUCUACCCCAGCCAAAACCAGCACAAUCUGUAUUUUAGUGUUAUCUUGAUUUCAGCUGGGGCUAAGUUCAUGUUCUUAAAAUUAAAACUUCAUCUGAAUAAUGUUGCAAUACAAAAUGAACUCUUUAACCAUUUAUAAGAAACAGAGUUUGAAAGUAUCAAAAUUAAGAUCUUCUGGCAGAAGGUGUCAUGUAGUAAAAUGAAGUACACAUGUCCUUAAAGCUUAUGCUGCAAAAGAGAGAGUCAUGAAGAAUGGGUAAGAUCAAUGUCAAGUAGCGAAUGCCCAGAAAGGUGUAUGAAUUGUGAUGAUCCUAUAGCGGCACUUCCUCUACUUUUAUAUAAAUGUGCAAAAAUAUUUGUCUGUUAAUAUUUGAAGUGUAGAUGCUGGUACACCGAAGCAUGAGGCCUAAAAAUAGAUGUCUGGAUGCACUUUGGGAAAUAGUUUUGCAAACUAUGUAUUUUCCCUAGAAUUUAAUAUAUCUUGUCCAAAAGAAACUUGACCAGGAAAAGGUAGACAAUUUUGUUGGCAAAUGAUAAAACUGUUCAUUUUAAAGUCAACAUUAAACUUUAGCUAUCUAAAAUACUCUUGAAGUAUCUAUUAUUCACUGUUCCUUUGUAAUAUCAUUAUGACUUGAUCAUGAAAUUUUAAAAUAUGAUAACGUUUUAUGUUUCAAGCAGAGGAAACUCGGAGACACUGAAGAACGUCACUUGGCGUCCUGAAAAAGAGCUGAGAAAAUAAUUCAUAAUUUAUCUGCAAGAUCUUUUUUCUCUCCUUCAUGAAUACUUCACAUCAAACACUUUCCCAGUAUCAAAAUUCAGAUGUUGAUAAUUGAGCUAGGUUUGAGCUAAUGAUUUUGAGCUGGUAUGCCUUGUUUUUGUUAACCAUUAUUAAAUUUGUAAAUGCUUAACAUGUUUGGAUUGGUAGGAUAUUUUUGACCCUUAGCUGGGAUUCUAUACACCCCUCUUCUAGAAGAAUUAAGAAUAAAUAACAAUUUCUUUUUGUGAGCAUUAGUAUAUCAGUUUUCAGUUGUCUCUGUAAUUUCCUGUCUGGAGUUCUGAGAGCCCCUGAUACUGAAAUUCUUUCAUUGGAGAAUGCUCAUGUAAAAUAUUCUAUAAUUUCCCCUAAAAAUGAAAUACUAUAAAGUUUGUGACAAUGAAAAGGAGUGUUAAAUGUACAUGUUUCUGAACUUAGAAUGAGUUUCUUAUUGGUCAAUGACAGCAUAAAAAGUAGAAGAGAAAAAAUAAUGCUGAAAGGAUGGAGAUAGAAGUGCUUUUAUAGAAUGCAGGAGAUGGAAUUUCCCACCCUCAGGUUUUUUUCAUCUUAUGAAAGAUAAUCCAUGGCCUAAGAUAUUUAUUCUUAAAGAGAAAUGAUGCUGAUUGAAGUCUUGUGGUUGUUGAUAAGCAUCUGACCUUGAGAAUGAGAAAUAGUUGCCAAGUUCUAAACAAUGUUGCUAUGUACUUCAGGUUUUAAAUGGCAUGGAGAUGGUGAAGGAUAUUAACAGCAUCUGCCUAAGAAAAAAAAUUAUAACGCUCUCUGCAUUUGACUGUAAAAAUAUUUUAAAACUCUAGUCUUAUAUAUGUAGUUAUGUAAAUUUUAUGUCUCUUUUUUCAGACACCUACUUUUACUUAGAAAAGUAGGCAUAGUGUUUGCUCCUGUCCUGUGUUUCCACUAGCAACGAGUAUUUCUUUCUUCACUUAACUACCAAUCAAAGAUUGAUUUUUAUUUGUUUGGUUCUAAAUGCUCAGGGGCAAAGUGGAAAAUAAUUUUAUCUUGUUUCAGCUAGCUGAAAAUCCCUGCCUUCUGGGGCAGCCCAUCUGUGCUGGAAGGCUUGCCCAGACCAGUAGUUUGCACUUUAUGCUUUAAUGAUGAAUGCAGCAGCAGCUCUUGCAAGGACCAUUGUAACAUAUUCUAACCUUAGUGUUCUUCAACAUGUUGAUCUUAAAACAUCAAAUACACUCUACUGCAGGUGAUCUGAAAUAACAGGAAUGUGCAGGGCAUUUGCUCCUUUGUGAAAUGCCCUUCAUUGAAAACUAAACCUAUUUUGAAAAAGCCAGCUCUGGAAAUAGAAGACAAAGUGACUUUUGAAGAAUUAGCUGUAUGAAGCAAAUUAAGCAAGGUGUCCCCUCUCACAGUUUAAAAGACCUUUUCCUAUGAAAAAUGCAUACCUUGGCAACUGGAUUCAAAUGAGAACAUAUUAAAAUGCAGAAUCAUAGAAUGUUGAGGGGUUGGAAUGAACCUUAAAAAUCAUCCACUCUCCUCCUCCCUUUCCAGAUACAGGUAAAGAAGUUAACAAGUUACUUUUGGGUAGAUAGCUAAAAAGGUUGAAGUAGCUCUUCCUGCUAUUUACUCUUGCCAUGGUCACUAUUUACUCUCCCCAUAGUUGUGCUUAUGAGACUGUGAUGAAAGUGGUACCAGUGUUUUAUCCCAGCUCUCUGGUUACCAGCAUUUCUUUGGGAUCUUGGAGGUCUCUGUUGUGCUACAGCCAGGUGUGAAGUGGCAUCAUGCAAACACUGGUAUGAGUGGCUGCAAUUGACUGUCAGAAACUUCUCUGAAGUCUUAUUUGGUGCUGAGCACAGUUAGCUUCACAGCUGGUUUAAAUGAAUAAAAGUUUACAUGCUUGAAAUAUGCCUGCUAUUACUAUAGUAGAGUAUUAACCAAGCCUCUGUGCAUGUGUAUUUGCCCUGUUAUUGAAAACUUGUUGUCUCUGAAUACUUAGCUCAUGAGAUUGCAUGCAAAAGCCUCAUUUAUGACUCUGAUUCUUUUGUUCUUUGGCCCACUGCAACUUUACAUUUCAUUUGUUUGUUUCUUUGUUUACAUGUGGUGCUUAAUAUUGUCAGAGCAAUGCAUUUUUUAUCCAAACAAUUUCUUUGAUGUUGGUGACAGAUUAUUCCAUCACUAAAAUAAUAUUCAGUGCUUUAUAUUCCUUCUGUUUUUGGCUGUCUGUUUUUGCUAUGCCUGCUGUAACUAAAACCAUAAUGUUGUCAGUCUAAUUAUUCCUUAUACCUCUUUCCAUUUGCUGUAAUUUUAAAUUAAAAUUCACAGAAACUUUGCUUUUCUAGGAUUUUGUGACACCUCAUUUCUUGUCCUGGGAGCCAAAUUCACGCUAUGAAUAAGCUUAUCUGCCAAUAGUGAAUUGCCUGUCUUUCUAUCUUGACUAUGUUUUCUGGCUUAAUUGCUGUGAGUCAGCAGUAGGAAAUUAGAAACAUGCUCCAUAAUGAACGGAAGCUGUUUGUGAGUACAGCCUUUUUCCAGUUCAGAGCGUUUGCAAGUAUAAGUUGAUUUUUAUGUUUUAUUUUAUAGGGCCAUGCUUCCUUUCAAUUUUUUUUUUCAUUUUCAGAACAUAAUAGCUUGUCAUAUGUGAGAGGUGAAAAUGAGGCAAGAGUUGUAAUCUGUGAAUAAUCAGCCACAUGACCUUGUAUUUUCAAAUCUCUUGAAAUUUGUAAACAUGAGCUGUAAUUCUGAAUAUCUGAUUAUUUGCAUGUCCAGCUUUUCCCAUGUGUAGUGUUCUUGUGCAGUUUUGGAAAUGACGCCUUGUUAUCCCAUGUAGUCAGAGUGAUCUACCCAAAGUUCCUAUUCCAAAAAUGAUGAGUGAUACAUUACUUUAUAUGGUGACACACUUUUUUAUAUCACAAGGGUUAAAUUGAUGACUCAGGUGUGAUCCUGAAGAUUUAUGCACACAAUAAAAUUUAAUCAUUGGAGUAUAUUUAAGUUUGCACAUAAGUCUUCCCAGGAUUAAAUAAUAAAAUUUAGGAGCUGAUUGCCAAAUAGUUACACUAAAUAGUGACAAAAAUGUUGUACUUUGUAAACUGUAUUUAAUCAUAUGCCAUGACUUGAUUUUUUCCGUGCUUAGGGUAAAGAUAUUGAUAUUACCUUAAAAUCGUCCUUUCUUCUGUUCUCUUUUUAUACUUUGCUUAAUUUUUUGGGUGUCAAAGACUGAGUUAAAGCAAUUUGAUUUUAUUUUUUAUGUUUUCACAACUGGAUAGCUUUACAUAUUCAGAAAGACAAAAUGAGCAGGUAUUUAUAUUUAGAUCAGAUCUGAAGCUUGCAGGAAAUGGCUCUUACCAGGUGGUGAUGCUAAGCAUAGAAAUAAGAUUUUAGAAAAAAGUAGAUUAAAUAAUUGCACAACACUACACAUCACAAUAAGCUGCAUUUUGUUCAUCUUGGACAUUUUAUUGUCUACAGGUGAAAUGUGUAAAUGUAGAAAUACCUCUUUUGGGAUAUUGUUGGGUAAAGAAUACUUCUGAUGGAUUUUUGAGCUUUAAGGUCAAUGCAGGGGUUUUGCUGGCUACACCCUUUGGCAGUUUCAGUCCUUUGUGUUCCAGUUUUUCUAUCUGUCCCAGUUUUUCCAUCUGUGAAGUAGCUGUACUGAUUCUGAUUAUUGUCAAAAAGUGUUUUGUUAUCUAUUUAUGAGAUGAUGUCUUUAAAAGCCACAUAGAGUUAGUAUGGUAUAACAUACAUGGAUAUAUCUCCUUAUUAAAAAAAAAUCAAGUAAUGUAACAUUUUACCUGCUCUAAAUUCUAUGACAGUUUCCUUGAUUUACCAAGAAGCUUCAUACUCCAUUCAAUUUUGGUAUUCUUUCUCAAAAAAUUACAACUAACUCCUGGGUUCACCUUAUAAUUCAGAAUUUAAGCUUUGUUUGUUGUUGUUAUUUUACUGUUGUUAUUAUUAUUAUUUUAUUUUAAAGUGGUUACUGGCUUUUGUAAGUUAGAAAGAAAUUAUUGACAAAUUCAUCUCAGUAGGAUGAAACAAAAACAACAAAUCCUUUUCCCUUCUUCCUUUCAAGAUUUUAAAGCCAAUGUUAUGAUUGUGGGCUUGUCUUUUGAAUUUGAAUGCUUGGAAUUAGUAUUAUUUGUAUAAAAAUUCUUUGUCUCCCUAGACUAGCCAUUAAGUAUAGUUCACCUUUGUGGACUUAUGUCCUCUUAUGUUUCAUAAAGGGGAUGAAACCUAAAAGUUCAGCUAUUGACUAAGUCCAUCUGUUAAAAUAGAUUAGAAUAGCUAAAUCAUUUCUGGACACUGUAUGGAGAACUGAAAUAUUCCAUAAUGUUUUCAUAAUCUAAAUCACCAUGGAAGAACAGUAGUUAUUAGGGAGUAGAUACACCUUUAAGGAGAAACUCAAGUUUACUAAAACAGGUGACGAGGUGUGUGUUCAGUGAUGUCUUUCAUUCUGUAGAGUUGGCAAACUCUGUCUUAAGUUGCAACAGAGGUAGUAAAAAUUUAGGGCUGCUUUUUUUUCUUUCUUUUUUUUUUUUUUUUUUGAAAAUGAUCAUGCUAUUAACCCUUCUUAGUGCUACAGUUCUAUGGCUUUCAACCUCCCCCCUGCUUGUUUGACACUGUAGUGAGCUGUGAGUGAUACUAGCUACCUGUCACCCACUGAAAACCUUAGUGAAAUUAUGCUGGGUUGCUUGAAAGGAACAAGAGGUAAAAUUUAGCUGCAGGCACCUUUUUCCCUUUUAUGUCGCUUCCUUCUCUUUUUGCUUCUGGCUGUUCUCACUAAAGGGAUGGAGAACCUACUUGUAGUUUAGUAUUUAUCCAGGAGGGAGUUGUGGGAAAGUUCAAGCAGCCUGCCCCAAGCCGAAACAGUAAACCCUGCUGUGAUUUUUUUAAAUUCUUACUAAACUGAAAGUUACUUGAAAAGUAACCAUAUUCAUAUGGCUUCUGAAACAGAGGGGUUUCAGGAAGGUGUGCAUGCACAUGGAAACAGAACUGGAUAUAUAAAGAGAAGAUAAUGGUAUUAAGAAGAGUUCUUGGAAAGGAAAUCUAAAACUUAAUAAAUGGCAUUCCAGAAAACCUACUCAAAAUCAAGGCCAUUAUACACAAUCCUAUAAAAGAGCACACAGGAACUCGACUUGUCACAGACUCCUGUGACAAGUGAAAAAUGCAGAAAAAGCAGCGGGUUCUGAAGUCAAAAUAGGACUUUUCCAAAUUAAUUAAAAAUUAUUUGAAUGUUCAGUUAAUGUCACAGAAUUUCUUUCUAGAGACAAAUGUGAAAAUAAACCAAAAUCUCCAACUGUCACAAUGCUGAUCAUCCCAUUUUUACCAAGGUGAACAGAACCCAGCCUCCUUCUCUUGGCAACCUUAGUGCCAUAUUCACAGUGCUCUGUAAUGACCUGUCAUAAUGUGUAUCCUCUUACUCCAGCUGAGGUUCCCUUCAAAGCAUUUGCUGUUUCACUGUUUGUCCUUGCCCGAGUCAAAAUGUGUCAAUUUGGUUCUACUGCUCUUAAUUGGUUUCUUUGACCUUCAGUUGCCUGCAAGUGCCACAAAUUCAGCUUUUUGUGGUGAACAUGUAGAAGACUGAGGCAUUAAAAGAAAAAGCUGGUUUCAUUUGCUGGCAAUUAAUAUUAGGUUAUUCAUGCAUGUAAUAGAUUGCUCUUUUUUUCUUCUUCUGACUAAUUAUAAAGGUCUAUUUUAGCUUCAAAGUCUAGAGCAUCUUCAUAGACACUGAGUUCACAUCCUCACCAGCAGUGUUCAGCAGUGCUGGAGGAGUGGUCUCAGGGCUUCCCUUGAACCUCUCAGAAGAGUAAAUAUUUACUAGAAAGAGAAUGUAUAUUCAGUUCUAUUUCUGUGUAGGUAUGUUUCUAACUUGAGAACUAGUCAGCAUACAUCAGAGCUGAGUGAUGAAUACCUGAACAAGACAUAUAUUACUUUGGAAAGUUUUGCACUAAAAAGAAUAAAGUUCUAUCUGCUGUCCCCUGAUAGCAGGCCUUUAGGAAUUGUUUCAGAAUAAAAUAUGAACAUAAAGGACAACAAAAAUACAGUGCAUGUAUCUAAUGUAUCAUAAAGAAGCAUCAUUCACUUCUUUAGAAAAAUUCUAGCAAAAGGAAAUGGCUUUAUUAUAAAAGAGUGUAAAUAAGAGUAUUAAGAUUAAAUGGGAUAUGAGAUUUUUAAUUUUUACUAAUAAAAUGUUUGGCUUGUGUUGAGGAAUGCUACAGCAAGGUUGCUGUCAUUAGGACAUGAUUUAAUAGGCAUUGCUGGCUGGUACUAUUACAUUUUUUAAUUUCUUCUUGAUGUAUAAGUUUUCAGCCUGCUGGUUGCUGCUGAACUUUGCAUCUAUGAAUGGAACAAAAAAUCUGUUUCAAUCAAAUGAUUCAUGUAUAGGAAAAUGUACGUUCUUUUUUACAGUCUUGCUCUAAUGCAUACUUGUAAUUUCAAGAUCUAUGAAAAUAUUGCAAAGAACUUGUGACAACCCUAGUUGGAAAAGGGUGAUUUUUGUGGCCAUUUUAGAUAGUUAAGGUAUCCUACAUGGUAAGUUAAGGAUUCUCCUUAAUAAAAAUUCUCAAUCUUACUGCAAGUUGCAGUACAGGUUAAAAUUAAAUUAAAAAAUUAAAUCUCUAUUACUGUAAAAAAGAGUCACCUGUAAAAUCAUGUACUUCAUUCCUUGGUCAUCACUUUUUUAGAAUGUAUUGCAAAUGGUUUUUUACAAGAAACUGCAAGCAAUCCUAUGUGCACGUACUUUUAUGUCCAUUUAUUUCAGCAGGUGUUUCCACAUGGGUGUGGAGACAAUGAUGAACCAAGAAAAAGCUGAUUUUGCAGUUUCCUCCUCAAUAUGGCCCACAAUCAUUUCAUCUUUCUUCCUAUAGUGAGUCCAUUUGUCUUUUUAAGGUUGUAGUGCAUUUGUAAUGUGUUGUAUUCAAAAUACUUUACUGUACAAUUUCACAAUUUCAGGGGAGAAGAACUAUUGUACAAAAUGCACAUCUUGGGACGGGAAGAAAGGGAAAGGUGGGAAAAGUCCUACAACAAUUCUCAGAUGCUGGAGACAGUGGAUGGAUGACUGAGACACUGUUCACUGAAGGUUGCACACACCGAACAAAUAAUUAUCAUAGCAUCUUCGUGGUCUUGUAUUCCAGUACAAAGCUUGUACAUUAUUGGGAUCACUAAAUCUGCAGCCCAGAGCUAUGGCUGGACACUGUCACCAGUAGAUGAUGUGACACGUAAGGUGUUUGUUACCAGAGCACUCAUGUCUAGCAUGAACUCAUGUCUAGCAAUGAGCACUUUCUACUGUGGAUAUCUAGAUGUCUUGUUCUGGAUUUCUUUGUGAAAUCCAGAAGAUUGAACUGACUGAUUUAAAAGUGGAUAGGUCAGUCAAAAUAUACAAAUAAUUAUGCUUUCUAAAUCAAUUUUGGUAGGGAACCAAAUAGUUGUAUUUGAAAUUUGUGGGAAUUAAUGGGAAAUUGAUGAUAUUUGCUUGUUAUAUAAGAUACUUUAAAAUAUGUAUUUCAUUCCUACUCUGUAACCUUGUAAAAAAUCCUAAACUACUGAUAAAUGAAUUACAGAGAAAUUACAGGUGCUCAGUAGCAGUACACCUGAGGCCAGAAAGUGAUCAUUUUUUAAAAGAUUGCAUAUAGUAACCUGUUAGUUUAUUACAGUACUGGAGUGUUGUCUUUGUAGCAGGAACUGUAUCCACUUCACUGUUUACAGGAUUCUCAGAACACCAUGGCCUAAACCCAGGCCUUCAGAGCCAUUAUUUUUCAGUGCUGUAGUGGCAUAUUAGCAGUUUAAGGCUGUGGUAGUGGCUGUACAGGCAUCAUGCCUUCACAGCUGACAGAAUACCAGUUUAACUCCACAUCUGUCCUUCUAACCUCAAGAGUGCUGAGGGCUUUCCUCUUUUCAUUAGCUGUGAAUUAUUUAAAGUUACUGGCAGCUGUCAUAAUUUAGAGGGAUGAACCCUGUUCACACCAAAGCAAACUCUGUGAGAAUUAAUGGAAACCUUUGCAGAUGCUCCGUAUAAGCUUAACUAAGUUUCAUGUAUAGAAUGAGAGACAAAAUUUUAUAUUUAGUAUUAGCUUCAUGUCAUUCUCUUGUAAUUAUGCAAAAGCUCUUUUGUAUCAAAACAUUGUUAAACUUUUAAUCAUAUAUAAUAAGGUGUUCAAAACAAAUCAUGCUAGGAAUGGAAGAUGUUUCAUCUAUAUGGAAAAAAAGAUUGUAGAGAAAGCUUGAUUGGCUGGGAGAACAUUGUACACAGUCACAAGUUGCUUGCAUGAGUAAUUUUUAAGUCAGACUCCUUUAUGUUUUGUUCCACAUCUCAGUGAGCUCUGCAUGAGAACUCAUGGGAGCCUUUUUGAAUACAGAGCUCUCCUUUGGCAGGAGUGGCUCAGAAGCAUUUUGUACCGAGCAGUGUUGGCCUGUUGGACAGACACACUGAUGGUGUGUCUGGGGACAGCCUCUCCUGAGACUCCUUGGUUUGCUUGUAUCUGCUUCCCAGCAUCUGUGGGCCCAGGGUGGAUGAUCAGUUUAUUAUGAUUUUGUGAGAAGGGAAGGAGGAAAUACAGAAAAAAUGCAAUAAGAAGAAAUAUAAAUACAGAUGAGAACUUCCUUAUCUUUUACUUUUUUGCUUUCAUGGCUCCAAGUCACGGUAUUUGAUAACCUGCUGUGACAUAUACCAUGGACUGGAGAAAUGUUGUGCUGCUACAAGAAAGCAGACACACACGAAGGAACAUGUAAACACCUGAGCAGAGAGGGAAGUAUUCAGCUGGAAACUGUCUGCUACAAUGAUUGUCUUUAAUGGAAUGUAAAACUAGUACAUCUUGGAAAAUAAAAAAGAAGCAUGACUUUUAGGGACAAAGUGCACACCAAAUAUAAUUUAAAUAUAAUUAGAUGAAGUAUGUUAAAAGCAGAAUUGCAUAUUAGCAGCACAGUUCUAAUUCCUCAGGUGCAGUUAAGGGAAAUUCAUCUGCUUUGUAUUUGAGGCCAAGACAAAUAAAACAACUUCAGUUUUAAUAAUUGAUUUGGUAUUUUUAGGAAACGUUUUCCCCCGUGUUUUGAUAUCCAGUGUAUUAGAGAAUAAGGAGAAUAGAAAUACAAAAAUAAACCAGCUAUUCCUAAUAGGCAGGAAGGAAAAGAGAAGCCAGUUGGGCAGUCCCAUUCACCACUGUGUCACCAUGGAUUUGGUCCAUGGAAGUGUUUUUUCCUGGUCAUAGCCACGUAGCAGUUACUGAGAUGUAGGGGUCCUUUACUAGAACACUCCUUUAAGAAUGAAUUGGAGCUUUUCAGUUCAUUAUCUCCUUCAGCUGACAAUGUAACUCUAUAUUUUUAAUGGUAUAGGAUCAACCUGUGAUAUAAGUGACAGUGGGAAUCUUUCUGGCACUGCACUGUGAAUACCAACACACCACAGCAAGAUGGCCAGGGACUCAGCUGAAGGAAAUCACUAUAAUCACUCUCUGUUAUUGAAAAAGAAGUGCACAGAAUAUGAAAGGGCAACAUUAGCUUUCUUUGUAGUUCUUAGUAAAUGAGAAGUAAUUAAAAGGUGAUUCAUAGAGACCUCUGGGAUGCACAGGGAAUACUUAUGUGGUUAGCGAUCCAAGUAAAAUUUAAAACACCUCCAGAAAUUAAAGCUUUACUGUUGUGAUUUUUGUGUCAAAAUAUUCAUUAUAUAUAAUUACACAGAAAAUAUCUAUUUACGUGUGAAAAUUCUUGGGACUCAAGAAUAUUUUUUAGAAUGUUUGUUUUUUAAAAUUUGUAUCAAAAUCACAUUAGUUGUGUCUGUUAUUCACUAUACAGGGGAGGUCUAUACAGGGGGAUAUGCACAUCUUAAACCUUAAUUUCAGAAUACAUUUUGGUAGGUACCUCUUGAAAACCAUUCUGGUGUUUUCUGAUCCUUUAUUUCAUUUUAUUGAUUCCAAGAAUUAUGCCAAAAAUGAGGAGCAAAAAUAGUCCAGGCAGUCUGUUGGUUUUUUUUUCCCCAGUAAAAGUAUAUCCAGCUAAAUUGUCUGAAUCAUGAAAAGAACGGACACAUUUGGGAAACAUACACCUGCAAAUGGUUCAUUGUGUCAAAAGAGGCUUACCUGAAUUUGCAAUGCAUGUCUUUUCUAAUGAAUAUUUAGCUCUGUGGUUUCAGCCACCCAAAGUGUCCAUCUGCUCUGCCCAUGAGAAUAAAAGCACGAGGUAGCAUUUUUUCCUUGCCUCAGCCAGAUGUGGCUCUGUUUGUUCCCAACACAGGCUGUAUGAACACAUUUAGUUUGUUGCUUGUACAAUUCAACCUACUAUUCUUCUGAGGGUCUACAGGAGAUAAUUUUGUAAUCAGCUUAUUAUGCAUUAUUUUUUUCUCUCUAGUACAAUUUUCAUUCAUUCUUCCCUAAUGUUUUUCCAUAGCUGACAGAUGCUAUGUGAUUGUGAGAUUAAUUAAUAAAAACAUUGCCCUAAAAUAGAAUCCCAAAGUGCCUUGCUCUCCCUUUCCUGGCUGUAUUACACUUCCCUGUAUUUUCUCCUUGUCUUUUACGUCUUUUUAUUUGUUGUAACAAUUCAUAUAAUCAAAUUAUUUUUGACAUAUGAAGAUGAUACAGAUGCAAGAGUCCAUUGAGGAACAAGCAUAUGUUGUUGCUCUUCUUAGAAAGGUUUGAAUAUUUGUGGGUUUUCACUCCAGUCCCGUAUGAGAAAAAAAGCUGCCCUGUUACCAGCUUCAGUAAAUUUUUGAUGAAUCUUUUGUGUAGGCAGUCCCAGAACCUCUGUCCUAAAAAUGCCAAGCCUGUUUUUACUGGUUGCCGUGGGAGGGUUUUUUUUGUCGAUCUGAGCUGUCUCAUUUGCCUUGAGGGUAAGUACUAUGCUAAUAUUUAGAAGUGAUGAGUUUCCCCUUAUUUCAUUUAGUCAGAAACCAAGAAAUUGCUUCUUUCCUCAUCUUCCAAAUUUUCCUGUUUUAGUGUACCUGGAAAUUUACUUUUCUUUCUGAUUCCUUUACAGAGGAACAAGCUAAAGGGGAAGGUUGGGCAUAUUUACACUUGACUGUUACAAGGAACAGUAUUUUAACAAACCAAGCGUGCUGGUUUACUUCCCUUUUUCCUUUGGAUUCCUUUGGAAAAAUCCAUGUCCUUUCAGUGACCUCAGAAAGGAACAGUGUGCAGAUAAUAUGCACCUUAAGGAACAUGUGCUGAAAGAGACCAGAACAUUCACUUCUUUCUGCCUUCCCAAGUGUGUUUCAAUCAGUCCAGAAACUUCUCUCAGGGCAAAAAUGUGGAAAGAACAGGUGUGUUAUUCAGUCGGAGCUGCUGUUCUUCCCAGAGGGGUGCACAAGAGGAGGAUUUAUUCCCUUCUGCAGCUCUAUGCAGCUAGCUGCCAUCUCACCCAUAAAUGCUUUUUGAAACAUACAUGUCAUACAGAUUUCUAAGCUGCUACAUUUUUAUUUGAAAUAUUCACAUGUGUCUCCUGAAAUACCUAAAAGAACAGGCAAUACAAGUCUGCACUAAAAGAAACGAAAAACCUGGGAGUAUUAAAAUGGUGUCAUUAUCAAUGCAUCUUUCCUCACAAAUUUUCACAUUAUUUGUAAUGACUAGCAUGUCAGUCAGGCAAUCUUGGCCUCUGUUUGCUCACAGUUCUUAAAAAAGGAGGAGUCUUUUUUACCUAUGUAUAAAAUUAUUCAUGUGAUAAAUAAUUUCUUGAUGGAACUUUCCAUCUUAUCUCUCUAUUUUCUGCUUCAGGAGUAGGGAGAAGGUUGUAAAACUCAGCAGAGGAGACCUUGCUGGAUUAAAAAUGUAGAAUACAUUCAAUAGAUAGCUAAGUUUUUAAAAAUUUUUGGGAUUUUAGGUGUUUAUUUUUUAAAUAAGACUGUAAACAGCAUGACAAAGGUGUUUCUUAAGUAGACAUCAGUAUGGUAACAUCACUAUAGCUGCAAAUAACUUUAUCCUGUCAUCCUAACUUCCUGUCAUUCCACCUGCUUUCAAACCUCUCCAAAUCCCUAUUUGUUAAUCUAUUCAAGAAGAAUAGAGAAACUUUGUUACUUUACAGCAUUUUAGAAGGACUGAAAAAAACCAUAAAUUCAUAAAAAUUAUGAAGUUUGCUCUGAGGUGAGCUUUCCUAGAAUACUUUUGUGUCAAGUAUUGGCAGGGACAAAAUGUGACUAUGAAUAGCUAUGUGGUUCACAGAUUCCAAAAAUAGCUUUAUGUGAAGAAUUACUAUAGCUUAAACCUACUUCUUUUGUCUCUAUUUGUGAGUACUUCUACCCUAUUAAGAAUUGAGAUUAAUAUUUUGCAUAAACAGAGUAUUAAUAGCUACUUUUUUCCGUUAUAUCAUUGGCAGACUAGAUGUCCAUGAACCUCCAAGUAAUCUCAGACAUUAUGACAUUGAAAUGUAACUUUCCAAAAUUUGGGAUGUUACAUAAUUACAUGUCAAUUUCUAGCAGGUAUGAGAUAUUUAUUGCCAGUUUUAUUUAUGGAAAGAGAAUGAUUCCAGAGAUUCUUGUGAAAGUACUUGUCUUAUAAAGAAUUUUCUAAGUAGAGGACAGAAAAGGAAAUGAGUAGAUUUAAAUCAAGUAAACUGUAAGCAAAAUCAUCCCUUUCAGAAGUGAUGUGGGAUUGUGUUUCUGAAGAUUUCCUUCCUGACUAAUGUUGUACUGUCCAUUUUUGAUUCUUCUCUUGCACAAAGAUUUCUGUAAGAGCUACAGAAGAUAUAAUCCUUUGUUAUUUAAAUUCAAGUAGUUGUUGCUUGAAUGGAUUCUGAAUUUUUUACAAGUUCAGGUCUCUGAAGUGGCAUAAAAUAGUAAUUUUUGUAGCUCUGCUGUUGGGUUGCUUACUGUCCUGUAAGACUAUGCUAUGAUUUCAACGUUUUUCCACUUUUAUUUUUAAAUCAAUAGGACAGUCAGAAUAGUGGUUUAUAAUUGAUGCUUAUGUCCUGAAGACUUCACUGUAUUCAAACUCAGGACUGGUAUUUUAAUAUUUUAAAAAACUCUCCAACAAACUGAUUGAUCAAAUUUCAGAACUAAACUUUAAAUAUAACUACAACAAAAAUUGCAGUACUGUAAACAAACACUUCUAAAUGCAUGUCAUGAUAAUUUCAAAACACAGUUAAA